CUUAGCGCGUGCAGUCUGCCUUCCUCGCUCGAUUUUGCUUCUUGACCUCGUGGCUUUGGCCAUUUUUGGCGUUUAAUUUUCUCAUUUUUCAACGCUUUUCAAGGUGGUGGAAGUCGUACUUGCCAUGAGUUUGGAAAAGGACAUUUUUCCAUGUAAUGCCCACAAGGAGGAGGUGGGAGUCGAGCAUGUAGGUGUCACAAGAAGUGGGACAUGUAGCAAGGGAUUUUCCAUAAGGAGGGGUCAUUGGUGGCAGCAAGUGUUGCAAGUGUCAUGAAGUUGGCCACACCUCGAAAGGCUGUACGAAUCUAUUCGUGAAUUGACGAAAAACGGAAAGCCGCAUGAACAAUAUAUUCCGGAAGCUGUGACAUGCGAUGAAAAUGAACUGUUUAAGUGGGAUCGUCUGUGGGGAACGCUUUAACAAUUUUGAUAAAGUUGUUCUCCAUCGAAUCCAGGUUACAGGAAAAGAUGUACCUCAAUACAUCACAUCACUCGAAGAAGCCGGCCUGCGCCCACUACUACUUCAAAACAUUAAGAAUUCAGAAAAAAAAUUAUGGUAGUUGGAACGAUUACCGAAGCUCUUCGGAUUCGUUUAUUUCACGCGUUAUGGUAUUUAAAGAAAAUAAACGGGUACCUGGGCCCCUUUGUAUCUGUGACCCGAUUUCCUCUUCACUUGUGAUAAUUCUGCAGCGGGUCAUGCAGAUACUGUGGUCAGCAGAGAAGGUUAGAAGUGCGCUGCCCGGAAAGCAAAUUUGGGGUAAAAGAAAAAAACUUAUUCCAACUAGUAAGCCAUUUCCAAAUUCAACCAAC